GACUCGGUUUUUGCCGGUCUGGUUCGAUUCUAUCAACACCUUGUGUCCUUGUCCCUUGAAGGCUCGAAUCUCCCGAUAAAUUCAGCGAGCGCGCUGAUACAAUGAGUGAGUCGAUAUCGACGGUGAUAUGGACUCUGGUUUUCCUUCGGACCUUUAAAAGUUAGAAUUACUUUCGGCUUCCCUUUUAUCUAUCCUCCCUCCGUGACCUUUCGGCUUAGUUGUUUGCGACGAAAAAGACGACUACAUCAAGAUGCCUUGCAGAUAGGAAAGUCACAAAGUUCCAAAAAACAUCAAAGUGAAGAGCUGUUCCUAAAACUUCAGCAAAGAAGGGAUAUGAUUACUCAUGUGCAGCCGCAGGAGGAUAGGUAUCAUCUAUGUCAAUAGAGCCAGACAAUGUUUGUGUGUAUGGGCAUAUGAUAUGCAUCUGUGACUGCGGUGUCCAUUCCUUCUGGUAAAUAGUCCGAAGAGGAGAGAGAAUCCGAUGUGAUGAUAUAUCAGUUGUUUGCACGUUUCACAACGCUUUCACGAUCAAUGCUAAGCUGGUCCACUGGACCAGGGGGAACCACCCCAUUCCCAGUUUUGGCUCCUGGGCUGAAUUUGAAAUAUCGAAAUGGCAUGCAUCUCAAGUGGGACCAUGUUUAUUGUUUCAUCGUGGCGUGGGCGUGGUGGUGGUCCCAGGAACAGAAUGACAUCUCAAGGAAGUGGGACCAUGUUUAAGAGACGUGGGCCCCUGGAACCUAUCCUCUGUAAUGUGAAUUUGGCAUUUAGGGAAAAAAAAGAAAAGAAAAAGAAAAAAAGCUCUAUCUCUUCUUCUUGGAGCCAGAAGGAAGAAUUGAAGAUGAAGCUGCUGGCUGCAUUGCUAACAUAUUAUGUUGAGCCGCAUGCGUAUCACAUCUAGUUAAUUCUGCGUUCUAAGAAAUAGUUUGUAUC